UUUCCACUUUAUUGGAACAAAUUUUAUUUGAAUUUUCUUCAAGAUAUUUAUUUAAUUGUAUAUUGCUAUAAUCAACAUGAAGAUUAAUUAAUUUUUCAAAUGCCUCUUAGAAGUAGUGAAUCUAAUUUUUAAUAUUAGUGCUUCCCCUCAAAAAGUUUAAACAUGUGCACAUUCUCAUGGAUUGAUUCCUUAAUUUACAACUUUGCACAAUUUUGAAACUAACGUAUAUAUGACAAAAACAGGAAUACAAUAGUUUUUAGUGGUAGAUGAUUUUUAUAUAGUUAAUAUUUUUUUAGUUCCAUUGCCACUUAUAAAUGGCCAUUAAUAUUAGAUUGAAUUAAUUAUGAAUAUAAGAACAAGCACCGUGAAACUAAUUUGAAUUUUAGUAUAAAACUUUGAAAUGAAUAGUAGAAAUUGACAAUGAACAUUCCACUCGACAAUAAUCAAUGAAUAUUCCAAGCCUUUAUGUAUGGUUGGAUUCUUUUAUUUAAGUUCUCUUAUUUAGAACUCCCUUCAUGCCAUAUCAUUAAGCAUUAUGAAAUGUUAAUCAUGGAAAAUUUUGGGUGCAUUGUUAUGUGUUUUCCUUCUCUAAAAUGGGAUAUCCAUGAAGUUUUGGAGUUUAUGCAUGUGCAGAAAUAAUAAUAGCUUAAUAUGUGUCUUUUAAUGAACCAAUGCUGUAUUCUAUUAAAAAUGCACCAAAUUUUAUUUCGUUUUAAAAUACAUCAAGUAGGCUUUAGGAUUGAGGUUCAAUUUUUUUUUUCCCAUCAAUUACUUUUUUUUUUUAUAGGUAAUGUUUACUAUGACUUGAGCUACAUUGUCUAAGGAAGUCAAACACUUUAGUUAGAGUUCUGUUUUUUUGUUUAUGUGUCCUUUGUAUGUUUAAUUAUUUGGUUGAUUUAUUAAUUGAUGUGAUAUAUCAAUAAUAGGUUGUUGGUUGUUGUAUCUUCAUCAUGAUCACAAGGCCUCAUCAAUAUAUCUUCAAUUAUUAGGUUGUUUGUCUCGUAUAGCUGUUUUGACAUAGAAAAAAAAAAUUUAGAACUCCACAAUGUUUAAGUUAAAAAGCGAAAGGUUAUACAAAACAAACACGUCUAAAUAAUCAAAGCUAGACACUACAUCUCAAAAAUGUUAAACCCAUUCGUCCAAAGCUAAUUGCCAUCAAGACUGCCUAUUUUCUUCCUCAAAUAAACGCAUUUGUCGGUAUGUUUUUUCCAUCCUCUUGUCGAAGCACAAAUUCACAAAGAUCUUUGAUAGAUAAGAUGGUGGGUAUUUUGCAAGAAGAUUACAGAAUCAAAAGGUUAGGAACUGCCAUUGUGAGAUUGUCUUACCACAAUCUUCAGCCUUACUGCUACUGUUAGACUGCUGGAACCACUGCUGGGACGUCACAAGGCAGCAAGAGAGAAGAGCAAGAAAACAAACUGCAGACAAAGAAGGUACAGGCAAUAGGGGGAGGCUUCAGUUGAACUUUGAAGUUAACAAAGAAGACAGAGAUGGGUUUUUCUUAAUGUGGUACCCAUGAAAUAUCUUCAACCUACAAUUCAAUUGCUAUCAGGUACUAGAUCUCUUGGAGAUAGCAAAGGAUAUCACUUUCUUACCCUUUUUCAUAACCAUCACAACUCCAAAGUCAAAACAAAGUCUUAAUUGCUACUUAGAGCCAGAGAGUAGUUGAAAAAGAGGUAGAGACAAAUAAGAAAAUGAAUAUUGGUGAAACUGAGAAAAGUGCAAAUAUUAUCAAGAGUCUAAUGAAGUAGGAGUUGAUGGAAAAGGACAAUGGUAGGAAGCAUCAAGAAAUUGAAAACCAAAUGUACACGGCUCAAGGAAAAAGCAAGACAAUGCAAAUUUCUAUUGCAGAUGAAGAAAUUAUGAGAUUAAAUGCAAUGAUCAAAGGCAUGGUUGUUGACAACUUUGGACCUACAAGAUUUAGAGAUGAAGCAUGAAGUCGUUAAGCAAGGAUUAAAAUAUUUGAAAGAUUUUAAUAAGUAGAACUUCUUCUUUUUUCAUUUUAAUUAAUUAUUAUUUUUGAAUAAGUGCAUUUCUUUAUUUCUAUUAAUUAUAUGUAUUGUUGUAUUAUGAGUUUUAUAUUAUUUAAACUAGCAAGAAAACACACUUACUGAUUGUUUUAUAAACUGUAUACUAUAAUGCAUUAGUUAAAUAGUAUAAAUUUUAUGUUGACCUUUGGAUCUGA